AUAUAAUAAGUGUAUAAGAGUUUUUUAUCACUUAAUGAAGAAUUUAUUUUUGAAAAUGUCUAUUUAUUGGUGGUAAAAUGAAUAAUGUUACCAAAAAAAUGGUAAACAUGAAAAUUUUCCUUGAUUUUAAAUAACUAGACAUUGGUUUCAAUUGGAAAAAUUGUUUAAAAUACAUUUGGUGAUCACUUUUCAAAAAUACACUUAAUCAAAAAACAUGUAACAUUUGAAUUUAGAAAUUAAUGAUUAUUAUUUAGGGAUUUGGAAAUUUAUUGGAUGAGAAUAUGUUUAUAAACUUCUAUAAACAUUUAUAAAUUAUUUAGGAAAGUUAAUUUAAUAUUUUUAUCACAAAUUUAAAGUAUUUAUGAAAAUAAUUAUCUUUUAAAAUUAAAUUUGAAAAUUAGUGUCAAAACUUGUGAUAAAAGUGAAAUUAUCCCUUUUAAUAAUUUUAUAUUCACUAUACUAAAAUAAAAUUUAUAUUUUUCUUCUCAAGAUUGUAUUUAGGGAGUUUGAAGUAAUUUAUACUAAAAUGACAUACUGUUAUUCAAACAUAAUUUUCUUGACAAAUACUGUUAUUCAAACAUAACUUUCUUAAGAAAAUUAAAGUCACGAACUUAUUAUUUGAUAAACAUUUUUAUAAUAUUGAAAUCUUUAAGUUCUAAAUUUUAUGAUUCUAGUCACUUUACAGUGUUUCAAGGUAAAGUUAGAAUUCUCUCAUUCUAGUUUUAAGAACUAAAAAUCACAUUCUCAUAACGUUUAAAAUUCAUUGCAGAUUUGGUAUGUCAAAUCGAAAAACAUUUCACUUUCAGAAAAGUUAGGCGACGGACAAUUCAAUUUCUCAGACGAGGAAGUUGACCACUUGGUCGACCCAGUGAAGACACUUUUCCCCAUAUGCUUAGAUUAAGAGGGGCAAGAGCCACUCCCCGAUCUUAUAAACUCAAAAACAAAAUUUAAAAACGUAAAAUUUCUUUUUACUUAGUAUUUACAAAAUAAUAUUACAGAAAUUUUGUAAUGAGAAAAAAGUAAAUAAAUAUAAAAUAUUUUUGGGGUGUUUUCUUCGAUAUAAUUUAUUAUAUAUCUAACUUAUUACAUAUAAUUAUACAUAUAUAUAUAUAUAUAUCGGAAAAAAUUUCAUGUUUACCACUUUUAUAGUACCAUUAUUCAUUUUUACCACUAUUAAAGAAACAUUUUCAAAAAUGUUUUUUCAUUAAAUGGUAAAAAAUUCUUGUACCAUUGUUUUCUAUAUAUAGUAAAUAAUUAAAAAAAAAUAAAAAUAAAUAAUUAUUAAAAAAUAAUAAUUUUUGUAAGUUUCUGAAUUAUACUUUUUUAAAUUCGAUUUUCUAUUAAAAAUUGAUUUUUUUUCAAAAUUUCUUUUUGAAAAUCAAAAAUUAUGUUUGAAACUAUUUUUAAUUUUUAUAUAUUUUAAAGUAUUUUUUUUUUUUUGGUAAAAUGUUAAGCUUACCAUUUUCUGAAGAAGGAUACAAUGUUGUUGUUGAACAACUUAUUACAAGGGAGAGAAACGAAAAGAAAGGAAACAGAGCAAUACAAAACAAACAGAAGAAGCUAAAUGAAACUAAGGCGGGAAGAGACGGGGGAUGGAAAAGUAGAGCUGCAGCAGCGAGACAGUCCCAUCAGGCGGAGGUGGAGGUAGAGAAAGGAGGCGAUCCCUCAUUGAACGAUCAACCACCUUGGCGAUUGCAGCUACGGUAGAGGAAGAAUCCCGGAAGAUACGAUGGUUCCUUUCUCUCCAGAUGCUGUAAACGAUGGCCUGCAGCAAAAGCUUUAAAACUGUCCCAGCACCCGAGCGUGAAGUGAUGCGGGGGAGAUUCAUAAUAUCAGCCACAGAAGCAAAAGCAAGUGGAGGAGUGGGAAACAUCCAACCAGCAAAGUGAGACCAAAUUGCAGUUGAGAAGGUGCAGGUAAAAAACAGAUGAUCAUGAGUUUCUGAAUCCAACGAACAGAGGGGGCACACAGGAGGAACCAGCAGACCCCAUGAGAUGAGCCUAUCUCUUGUGGGGAGUCUAGACAGGAGAGCCAUCCAAGAAACAAAGGAGUACCGGGGAAUCUCCUCUUUGAACCAGACCAUUUUAUUCCAAGAAACCAGAGGGGAGGGCUCUCUUAUAAUAUUCCAUGUAGCCUUUGAAGAAAACUUGGGAAGAAAAGAGCAAGCACCACUCCGCCAAAGGAAAGAAUCCUGGCCGCGCACAGGGGACGGUGGUUGCAUUGUAGAGAGAACCACCUGCAAGGUUUCCGCUUCAUCAGACCUAGCCGGAGGCAGGGUCCAAAGGCCAUUGGGCGCAGCUACACAGACAGAGGCGUCAAGAGGGAUCCGCAGAUCUCUCGUACCCCGAUUGCCAAACACAGAGAUUAAUGGACCAAGGUCAGUCCACCAAUCAAACCAGAAACUGACAGACCUCUCAUCACCUACAUUACAUCUCAUCAUCUUAUGUAGCUCUGGCUUGAGCUUUAACAUUUGGUUGACCGUAGAUGAGAAAGAAGUAGAAGUUGAAGCAGUCCAAAAGGUCUGACCUGUGAAGACAUUUUCUUUAAGCCAUGCAACCCAUAACGAACCAGAUUCCGAAAAAAAAUUCCAGACCCGCUUGAGUUGGAAAACAAAUUGAAACUCUUCGAGCCUUCUAAUUCCCAAUCCCCCCUCCUUCUUUGGCUUACAUAUGCUUUCCCAGCUAACUCUAGCACCCAAAUUGAAACUCUUCCAGCCUUCUAUUUUAAAGUAUUUAUUUAUAUAUUUAUUAGAAUCCUGAAUUUUACAUUCUAAAAACUUUACACCACACCUCAACUUUAAACCCUAAGUUUAUAUUAGUUAACCAUAAGGAUAUAAAUGUAUUUUACUCUUUAUUAAAAUUAAGAGUAAAAAUGAUGAGCAAAUUAGUUCAAUAUACUAAAAAAAGUGCGAUACUGUACAAUGGGGAAAAAAAUGGUAAUGAUGAAGGGAAAAAAUUGAGGGAAAAUAAGGUAUGGAGUGCAAAUAGGGUAGAUUUUGUGUGUAGAGAGUACAAAUUCUCAAAAAUGAUUAGUGUAAAUAUGAAAAAAUAAUAUUUUAAACGUGGUAUUUGUGGAAUUUUUCUACCAUUAAUUAUUAAAAAAAAUGAGGGGACACACCGCUUGUACUCCACCGGGGUGCCACCGACGCGGUAUCCACGCAGAACCGGCAAAGGGGACGUAUCUAAGAGAUUGCAAUACACAUUGUAAAAGUGGAUUUUUAACAUCGGGGAGAGUUUUGAUACGGGACACAUUAAAGAAUUCGUUAAAAGGUAAUUAACCAAUGCUUAUAUCGCGUCUACGGUACUUGUCAUGAGAAAUGAUACACAAACACAGUCCAAUUAAAGCAUGUACGUCCGAUAAGAAAGUGAACUGAGGUUACUGAGCUCUUAUGAAGACAUCAUUUGACAUUUAUCAAACGUUAAUGUAGAAAAAAACCGUUACAAAAGAUGGGUCAACAACUCAACAUGUUAUAAAUUCUACCACUGAAACACAAAUUACAUAGCGUGUUAUAGCCAUAUAUACAUCACUAUGUGAAAUGACAUGGUAUUUUAGAACCGUAAUAUCACGAUUAAAAAUCUAUGAAAAUAAUAAUAUGAAAAAUUGAAAAUAAUGAUAAGAAACGCGAAUUAAAACAAAAUUUUGAAAACAUAUUCAAAAUUAGACUAAACAAGAAACAGAAAUUUGGUAUUUCUCCUUAAUUAAAUAUAAAAACAUUUUGUAAUAUCAGAUGGUUUCUGCGGAAUUUUUGAAUUAUGAUAAAUCAUGUGAAAUUAUUUUGCAACACGUAAAAGAAAGUAUAUGAAAAAAAAAUUAGGUUCGGCCCAUGGCACAGGUAGGGUACGCCAUUACUUACGAAGCCAAAUUUUUAUUUUUUGUUUAGCUUAAGAUUUUUUUCUAUUCAUAACACUAAGAAGGUAUUAUUUUGAAUAGGAUCUUAAGUGAAUUUCACUAAAAAUGGGCAGGUACUGAAAGGAUUGCUUAUUCUGUUUUUCUGAUUUUGGGUGAUGUUAAUGAAAAAGGUGAAUGUUUUAUAUAUAUGGAAUGGUUGCUAUUUUAUUUGGAAAAUUGCCACAAAUAUCAUCUAUACUAUACUAAAAGUUAAAUAAGCUUAAUAGGGAGAGUGUCCACGUAUGCAAAAAUAUUCAGACCAAUCACACUAUUGUAUUGUGCCAUGUCAGCGUUCUUCAGUCUAACCAACAGACGAUAUUGUUUUUCUUUUUGAUGACCUUUCCGAUUUCUCAUUCUUAACAGUUUAUCUAUUUUUUUUUUCAUUAACUUCGCCCAUGAAUCCUCUUCGACUCCUCUUUCUCUGCUCUCUCUAUAUCUAGCGAUGAAAAAACCCUAUCAAUCUCCGCCGGAAAUUAAGAUCCACUGAUUAAUCAAAAAAAAAAAAAAUUAAGAUCCACUGAAUGCGGCUUGCUUUAGUCGAUCUCAGCAAAGUACGAGAAUGUCGAGAACUAUACUAAAAGUUAAAUAAGCUUAAUAGGGAGAGUGUCCACGUAUGCAAAAAUAUUCAGACCAAUCACACUAUUGUAUUGUGCCAUGUCAGCGUUCUUCAGUCUAACCAACAGACGAUAUUGUUUUUCUUUUUGAUGACCUUUCCGAUUUCUCAUUCUUAACAGUUUAUCUAUUUUUUUUCAUUAACUUCGCCCAUGAAUCCUCUUCGACUCCUCUUUCUCUGCCCUCUCUAUAUCUAGCGAUGAAAAAACCCUAUCAAUCUCCGCCGGAAAUUAAGAUCCACUGAUUAAUCAAAAAAAAAAAAAAUUAAGAUCCACUGAAUGCGGCUUGCUUUAGUCGAUCUCAGCAAAGUACGAGAAUGUCGAGAAAACUCCUUCUUGAUCAGUCUUCGGAAAUCGUUUCUCAGCAGGUAUGGUUAAUCCCUCAAAGAAGUUGGCCCUAAGAGUGAUUUGUAACAUAAAGUGUUCAUAUUUUGUUUCGUGUCGGAUGCAUGGUGAUGUUAAUUUUAUUUGGCUGUGUGUGGUGAUGCUGAUUUUGAGUUUGGCAUGAACCAACACGUAUGCCUUUCAUAUAUUCAUCUCUGCACUUCAUCAGAUUCCUUCUUUUUUUUUAUUAAUUCCAGCAACUUAGCUUCUACUACUUCCCUAAUGAUUUCAUUGUCCAUUCAAAAUAUUUAUUUGGAAAAUUGCCACAAAUAUCAUCUAUACUAUACUAAAAGUUAAAUAAGCUUAAUAGGGAGAGUGUCCACGUAUGCAAAAAUAUUCAGACCAAUCACACUAUUGUAUUGUGCCAUGUCAGCGUUCUUCAGUCUAACCAACAGACGAUAUUGUUUUUCUUUUUGAUGACCUUUCCGAUUUCUCAUUCUUAACAGUUUAUCUAUUUUUUUUCAUUAACUUCGCCCAUGAAUCCUCUUCGACUCCUCUUUCUCUGCUCUCUCUAUAUCUAGCGAUGAAAAAACCCUAUCAAUCUCCGCCGGAAAUUAAGAUCCACUGAUUAAUCAAAAAAAAAAAAAAAUUAAGAUCCACUGAAUGCGGCUUGCUUUAGUCGAUCUCAGCAAAGUACGAGAAUGUCGAGAAAACUCCUUCUGGAUCAGUCUUCGGAAAUCGUUUCUCAGCAGGUAUGGUUAAUCCCUCAAAGAAGUUGGCCCUAAGAGUGAUUUGUAACAUAAAGUGUUCAUAUUUUGUUUCGUGUCGGAUGCAUGGUGAUGUUAAUUUUAUUUGGCUGUGUGUGGUGAUGCUGAUUUUGAGUUUGGCAUGAACCAACACGUAUGCCUUUCAUAUAUUCAUCUCUGCACUUCAUCAGAUUCCUUCUUUUUUUUUAUUAAUUCCAGCAACUUAGCUUCUACUACUUCCCUAAUGAUUUCAUUGUCCAUUCAAAAUAUUUUUUCCUUUCAGCUAUGUGAUGGAUGUGGCAUGUUAUUUAGAGAAUUGUCCAGAUUUGUAUUGGAAAGAUGCAUCUGCAGCCACAAGGGUCUGACAGAUUCCAUUUACCCACAUGGAAACCAGAGCUACGUACAUAGAGGUCUCUAAAACUAAAUUAAUUAUUUCAUUGACUCAAGUUUUUCAACUUUUCUCUGAUUAUAUAUAGUGUUAUCCAGUCUCUUUUUUGCCAUCUUUCAUCACUCUCUCUCUCUCUCUGUUUUCGCAGCUUGCUCAACAAAAGGGAAAAUGCAGUUGUAAAUACAUUUCUGGUGGUAUAUUCAAGGUACUUAUUCAUCUUGACUAAGACUAAAUCUUCUCAGUGAGUUGCUCUGUUUUUAUAGAUUUGAGAAGUUCUGAUUUUUUUUUUUCAAUCUUUGUUCUUUGGCUGAAUCUAUUGUUCAGACGUUGUGUGUGAAAUGCGCUUCUUUCUCUGUUUGUAGUUUAUUUUCAUGUUUUUUUUGGGUUUAUGUAUAUAUAUACAAACAUGUAUGAGUCAGACAUUACAAAUUCUUGAUGUUUCACUUCAAGUCAGAAUCUCACUAUUGUAUUGUGGGAUAUGUUGAAUAUGACAUGGAGGCUGAUCUAGACUCCUGGUUAAGAGAUCUGUCAGUUUCAACAACAAGACUCUAGAGCCCACGAUCUUAGGAUUUUGUGGUAAAAUGGUUGUUGAGAAAUCCAUUCCCUUCAAAUGGAUGCAACCGGAGAGAAUGAUCUCGCUCUGAGUUACACAUUGUUGAGAUUUUUAGAUAAAUUUCAGUUCUUGAUCUGAGGAACCCCAAACGAAGCUGCUCUUAAGUUACAUAAAUUUUACAAAAGAUUUGGUACCAGGUGAAAGCUCGCAGGCUGUGCAGUGCUCGUCGAGCAAAGGUGUUACCUGUUAGUGUUUUGAUCUCAAAACUUCUGGUGUUAUUGUGUUGUCGUGAUCUUAUGUUGUAUGAUAAAUCCCCUUUGUUUCAAUCACAGGCAGAAACUCUUAGACUUUGGUGAGGUAAAGAUAAGUUAUAUAUCAUUCUUUGAUAUCAAGAAACAUGAAACCGUGAAUUCCAGGUGGGAUCUCGAGCUUGGACAAGAGCAGAUGAGGUUGGUAAAGGUUUGUGACCUUUGACAUCGGUAUGGACAUAACCUUCAUUUUUACUAUAAGUUGCUCCACUUCCAGAGUAGAGACCUUCUACUGGUUUGAUAUUGGCAAGGAGAAAGAAGUAAAACUUGUGAAGAAGUGUCUCGGUUGAAACUUCAACAUUAAUUAAGUACCUUGGUCUGGUUAGUAUCUAUUUCUUUUUGUUGACAUGAUUAUGCUUUGUGUAUAUGGAAAGGCAAGCUUCUGAGGUUUUUCUGAAAGACGGGAAAUUCUUUUACAAGAACAGUGGAGAUAUGCUUCAAACUUCUUCUAUGAAAGAUAGUGAUCCACAAAAAUUUUGGUGCUCAGCACAUCAAAAGUGUUAUAUGUUCGGAAGAAGGGGAAGUUUUAACAGUUAAGCUUCUUAGCUGGAGGAGCUAAUGUUGCUGCAUGAAGAAUUGUUGUUUAAAAUGGUGUUCUUACGGCUGUUUGGCCAUUGUCCAUGCUUGGUAGCAAUUUUUAAUUUUAGUAUAGUAGAUCAUAUAAAAAUAUAGAUUGAAAUUAACUGUGUUGUGAGUAUUGUUUUAUAGCUAAUAAGAAAACUGUGAAAAUUUAAUUUCAAAAAGCUUCAGAAAUAAAUGAGUAUUACAGAAGUUUUUAAAGUAAUAUAUAAGAAAAGUUCACAAUAUCUUAUGCAAAAUAUUUUGUUGAGAAUAUUUUUUAAGAAGUCACGAAAAGAUUAAUUUGAAAUUUAUUAAAAUACAAAUUAACAAUAAAACUAUGUAUUUAUAAUAUAUAAUAUAAAAUCUGGUGUGUGGCAUCGAGAAAAAAAUCAUAAUCAGAUAAAUAAGUAUUUAGAUUAAACACAAAUAAGUGUUUGAGAACUUUAAACUAAUUUUCAAUCACUUAAAUUCAACAAAAACUAUUUUUUAAAAAAAUUAACCAUUAUCUAAAUAUUCCAAUAUAAAUAUUUUUGUCUGAAGGGGUUAAUUACUCAAAACUCAACUCUAAACCCUAAAC